CAGUGAUUGGCUGGUGAGUGGACACUUUUUGAGCACAUGUAAUGUCCCUUCAAUGGAGGAGCAAAGAUGGCUGAGAAGAGAAGCAGGAGGAGAAAGAGUCCAGAACAAGAUGCUGUGGAACAUAUAAUUGAGGAAAAAGAUAAAAAAUUCAUUGAGGAAAGAUUUAUCAACCACUAUAAAGGGAGAGGUGUAUUUGCAAGAGAGUACAUUGAACCCAAAAGUUUUGUGGUGGAGUACCGAGGAGUUCUGUCUCUGAGUAAAGGUGCAGAUGACAAAAGCAACAAAUAUGCAUUUGAUUUCAUAUGGAAUGGAAAGCAAUAUUGGUAAGUAUCUUGCCCAAUUAUUUCCUUGUUACUUGUCCAUAAAAAUUAAUAUAUAUAUUUAUGAGAUAAAAUGCAGUAGCAUAUUCGACAAUGCGAAAGCAAUCUUGUUCUGUUAAAAUAAGGGUUCUGGUCUAACAAGUCUGCAACAUGAAUAACUGCAGGGUUCCCGCAGAUCCUUAAAAAGUCUUAAAAUGUCUUACAUUUAAAAUCCGGAUCAUUAAGGUCUUAAAUUGCCUUCAGUUUAAUGGAAAAUUGCAGUAGGUAUUACAUUUCCAGACGAUGCAUGUAAUGCCAGGGAAAUGACCGUCUUCCGUAAAACUUCUAAUGGUGUGCAUUUGUUUUAUCAAUGGCCUUGCACGAGAUACAAGAGUUUUGGAUUAAUAUGUUAUACGGUACGUUGUCCACUACCUCAGCAUACGCGACUUGACAUGACGCCAUUUCCUGGUUGUUCACGGUUGUAGAGGUGAGUGGGAAUAUGCCGAGAUGGGGAAGUUGGAAUUUAAUAAAUAAUGGACCGAAGAUCUUUUAUGUAAGCGGUGGUUGGCCCCUGGUCAAAAUAACAACAGUGCCCGGUACAAAGUAGGGAUGUGACAAUAUAUUGAAAAGGUGGAAUAUCAUGGUACUUUGUGGGCCAAAGGUUAUCAAUAUGCUUCCACCAAGAAUCAGUAUAUCAUUUUUAAAAGGUGUCACUGUUUGGGGGGGAAAAAAAAAAGGAACCAAUAGGUUGCGACCAAAAUCUUCCAUUAGAGUAGUGUCUGCUUUAGCUCUCUGGCUACCAUUGACGGCACUAGACGUACAAUCCAGUUACUGAAACUAGAGCAUCCACAGUCAGUCUUUUGUGGGCAUUUAAAGGUCACUUCAUGUUCAUGUCAUUUACAGGCUACUUCCUGUUGGUUUUGAGUCACUUCCUUUUCAGUAACCCAAAAUAGACUACAAGGGACUUUUAAAUGCCCCCAAAUCAGCAGGAAGUGACCCAUAAAUGCCUCAACAGCAAAAGGAAUUGACCGAAAAUCAGCAGAAAAUGACGUCAAAUGCCACAAAAUGAACUGGUUCUCUGCUAUUAGCUACAACUGAUGGCCAUGGAUGUCCAAUCUGUUUGAAGUGGGAGUGUGGCAGCGAAUGAACAUUAUUGAUAAACUCAUUCCUGUUCACAGCAGAAAGAUAUAAAGACCUUUUUUCUUUGCUUAUUGCUUGUUACAUGCAAUGAUUUCCUGACACAUAUAUCGAUAAUUGUUUUAUCGCCAUAUCCUGAGAUCAUUGUUAUGAUUAUGAUUAUCGUGAGGUAUCCAGAGAUUUCCACCCCAAAUGCAAACUCAGCAACUUUUUCGUUAGAACAAUAGGGGUUAAAGCCAUCGAUUCCCACAUGAUAGUUGGAAAAAUACCAUUUGUGGCAACAGUUGCGUUUACAGUAAAAUAAAAUGUUUUUCCUUAAAAAAUUGUUGUGACAUGUCUUGGUCUUAAAUUCUAUUUAUUUUAAAAGUCUUAAAAAUGUCUUUAAAAGCAUUAAGUUCUACCUUCAAAAUGUAAUAAUGUAUAUGUAUAUGUAUAUGUAUAAUGUAUGUGUAAUGUAAAAAUGUAAUUUUACCCAUUCAUUUUCAAUGGGAAUUUUUUUUUUUUCCCCAAAUCAACAGAAAAUGACUAGAUAUCAAUAGGACCUGUCCCCCAAAUGUCCCCGAUUGCAUUGCUGCUUAUGGAGGGUGAUGCCAUUGACGUCCAGGGACGUCCAAACUUCCCAUUUAUUCCAAUGGCAUUUCUUCAUGUUUGUUCAUUCUAUUGAUGCCAAUGUACUUAGAUUCCAUUG